rnacentral:rRNA from 1 species
GACGGAGGAUGCAAGCGUUAUCCGGAAUGAUUGGGCGUAAAGCGUCUGCAGGUGGCCGUUCAAGUCUGCUGUCAAAGACCGGGGCUUAACUUCGGAAAGGCAGUGGAAACUGAACAGCUAGAGUAUGGUAGGGGCAGAGGGAAUUCCUGGUGUAGCGGUGAAAUGCGUAGAGAUCAGGAAGAACAGCGGUGGCGAAGGCGCUCUGCUGGACCAUAACUGACACUCAGGGACGAAAGCUAGGGGAGCGAAGGGG